GGCUCAGUGGUCGAGGGAUAUGAUUCUCGCUUUGGGUGUGAGAGGUCCCGAGUACAAAUCCCGGCUAAGCCC
rnacentral:tRNA from 1 species